rfam:Fukomys damarensis contig153708, whole genome shotgun sequence.
AUUGCUUCUCGGCCUUUUGGCUAAGAUCAAGUGUAGUAUGGCACAAGAAUUUAAUUUUAACUAUCUCAAGUGUAGAAAGACAAUUAAGAUAGAGAGCUUUUCCAGAACGGGUCUGUAAUCCUUAGCAAAACAUGUCUCCUGAGACAAAACCUAAGAUUGACUACAACUGCUUUGCCAAGCAGAAAAUUA